GUACUGCUGACGAGUCGAAGACAGGACGAAACAGCUGUCCAGUGC
rnacentral:hammerhead_ribozyme from 1 species